rnacentral:misc_RNA from 1 species
AGCAGCCGCGGUAAUUCCAGCUCCAAUAGCGUAUAUUAAAGUUGUUGCAGUUAAAAGCUCGUAGUUGAAUUUCGGGAUCAAAGAAUCGGUCAUGCCUUGGUAUGUACUGGUUUUAUUGGUUCUCACCUUCUAAAGAACCAUGAUGUCAUUCAUUUGAUGUUAUGGGGAAUUAGGACUGUUACCUUGAAAAAUUAGAGUGUUUAAAGCAAGCUUACGCUUGAAUACAUUAGCAUGGAAUAAUGAAAUAGGACAUCAGAUUCUAUUUUGUUGGUUUCUAGGAUCGAUGUAAUGAUUAAUAGGGAUAGUUGGGGGCAUUAGUAUUCAAUUGUCAGAGGUGAAAUUCUUGGAUUUAUUGAAGACUAACUACUGCGAAAGCAUUUGCCAAGGAUGUUU